rnacentral:rRNA from 1 species
AUUGAACGCUGGCGGCAGGCCUAACACAUGCAAGUCGAACGGUAACAGGAAGCAGCUUGCUGCUUCGCUGACGAGUGGCGGACGGGUGAGUAAUGUCUGGGAAACUGCCUGAUGGAGGGGGAUAACUACUGGAAACGGUAGCUAAUACCGCAUAACGUCGCAAGACCAAAGAGGGGGACCUUAGGGCCUCUUGCCAUCGGAUGUGCCCAGAUGGGAUUAGCUAGUAGGUGGGGUAACGGCUCACCUAGGCGACGAUCCCUAGCUGGUCUGAGAGGAUGACCAGCCACACUGGAACUGAGACCCGGUCCAGACUCCUACGGGAGGCAGCAGUGGGGAAUAUUGCACAAUGGGCGCAAGCCUGAUGCAGCCAUGCCGCGUGUAUGAAGAAGGCCUUCGGGUUGUAAAGUACUUUCAGCGGGGAGGAAGGGAGUAAAGUUAAUACCUUUGCUCAUUGACGUUACCCGCAGAAGAAGCACCGGCUAACUCCGUG